rnacentral:sRNA from 1 species
CAGCGCAGCCACCCCCAAGGCUGGAUCCUUAAGUGAAGGACCAAGCCAGGCCUCAGGGUGACUGUGAUCAGGACUGGGGUGGACAAGUGGCCUUGGUCUUGGACACUGAAGGGAGAAGGUCUGGCCCCCAGGGUGGGGCUCUCCUUUCCCUCCCCCAGCCCCGCUGUCAGCACUGGCCCUCCGUGAGGUUCGAUACUUGAACGCCCCCUGCCCUGUGCCUUGGACCUGGGCAAAGCUAGGAGGAGGAAACAGCACAACUCACAGUUUGAGCUGGGGGGUGGUCUCGGCAAAGGCUCCUGUCUGUACCCCUCCCUAACCUUCUCAAAAGAGGUGCACAGCCUCUCGGGUGACUUGGAAACUCCUGGACAAAUUCCAUUCUAACUUAUUUUGACAUGUAUACAAACCAACUGUUUAGAGAUUCCACUUGUGCAAAGCCCUACUGUGUUUUUAUGUUCCUGUUUAAAAGAGAAGUUUACUUAGCAAUAAUUAUAAAUAAAUGAAUAUUCUUUAGUGAGGUGACUGCAA